AAUUGGAUAUCAAUAUGGAAGAAUGGAUCUUGACCCUUACCUAAUAUGCACAAAAAUGGAGGAUUUACUGCUUCAGGUCUCCGAAGGUGUGUUUGCCUACAGCGAUGCAGCUAAGCCUAUUUUUAUAGCUUGAGCAAAUAAGUCCUCAAGUUGGGCUAUGGUCGGUUGAUUGAUGACUCAAGAAUGCUGAAUUCCCAUGUUGUAGUCUGACCAGCAGUUACAUUGUUCUGUAUCCUGCCUGCUGCUCCCUUCACAGAUAAUUACCAGAGGCUAAUUUACAGAUGCCAGUGGGAACGGAAAUAGAGUGAAUGGCUGCCCACAGAGCUAGGAAUUGGAUUUUAUCAGGAGUCAUGAAGAAGCACGUUGGUUCUUGGUAAAAAAAAAAAAAAAAAAAAAAAAAAUCCAGAAAAGUGACUAGUUAA